rnacentral:rRNA from 1 species
CCUACGGGGGGCAGCAGUGGGGAAUAUUGCGCAAUGGGCGAAAGCCUGACGCAGCGACGCCGCGUGAGGGAUGAAGGUCUUCGGAUCGUAAACCUCUGUCAGCAGGGAAGAACGGUCACUGUGCUAAUCAGCAGUGAAUUGACGGUACCUGCAAAGGAAGCACCGGCUAACUCCGUGCCAGCAGCCACGGUAAUACGGAGGGUGCGAGCGUUAAUCGGAUUUACUGGGCGUAAAGCGCUCGUAGGCGGUAUGUCAAGUCAAGGGGGAAAUCCCCGCGCUCAACGUGGGAACUGCCUUUGAAACGGGCAAACUGGAGUGUGUGAGAGGAUAGUGGAAUUCCAGGUGUAGGAGUGAAAUCCGUAGAUAUCUGGAGGAACAUCAGUGGCGAAGGCGACUAUCUGGCACAUAACUGACGCUGAGGAGCGAAAGCGUGGGUAGCAAACAGGAUUAGAUACCCUUGUAGUC